rnacentral:rRNA from 1 species
GUGCCAGCCGCCGCGGUAAUACCGGCAGCCCGAGUGAUGGCCGAUCUUAUUGGGCCUAAAGCGUCCGUAGCUGGCCGACCAAGUCUCCCGGGAAAUCCACCCGCCCAACGGGUGGGCGUCCGGUAGAAACUGGCCGGCUUGGAACCGGAAGGCUCAGAGAGUACGUCCGGGGUAGGAGUGAAAUCCUAUAAUCCUGGACGGACCACCGUUGGCGAAAGCGCCUCAGGAAGACGGACCCGACGGUGAGGGACGAAAGCUAGGGUCUCGAACCGGAUUAGAAACCCUAGUAGUCC